rnacentral:lncRNA from 1 species
CGCUUGGGGCCCUCGGGGGCCCUUGAAAUAGCCACUAGGAUCGGGAAAUCCAACUUUCCCAGCGGUGCAGCGAGGAAAACCAAAAGGAACGGAGCCGGAGGCUGGUGGCGAGGGAGCGCGGAGGCUUCUCGGAGGGAGGAAAAAGAAAGAAAUGAGCAUUUGGGGUGUGAGUGAGUGUGUGUGUGUGAGUGUGUGUGUGCGCCCGCGAGCGCGCUGGUGGGCGGUGGGGGCAGGGGGUGGAGUUUAAAUCCACAAACACACACACGCACUCGCACUACCUCGGAGAAAAUGCCUGGAGCAGUUUAGGUUCUUUAACAAAAUAAAUAAAUUGAAAAAAAAAAAAAGUUUCACUCGCGUUGGUGAAACUUUUCUCCCUUCCAGAUCAGUCCUAAGAGGAGAGCUGCGGACGUGCGGAGGGGCAUCUUGGGGGCACGUGGAAAGACUGGCGGACGCACGAACCCCUAUACUCAGGAAUAUGGGGUCACAGGGAGAAGGGGAGGGGGUGUCCGAGGCGACCUGAACGCGAGGAUUUGGGGCAAAAAGGCACUUCAAAUGAUAAUGAUGCUCUAAUUUGCAUGCAUUGUUGGAGGAGUCAUCCAGUUGCUGGCUUGAUCCCUGCUAAAAGAGCAUACCAGCUGCAAAUUGACAGAAGAAUCUGAUACACGUGAAGAUGGGGACUUGGAGGCUUUAUCUGGAGCUGCAGCUACCAGGAGCCCCCUUCUGGUCUUCUCCAAGAACUGCACCUUGGCUUCAUGGCCUUACCUUGGCACCUGGAACAUGGACUCCUUCAGUAUCUUCCAGUACCUGGAUCCACAGUGACACAGGAUGUUCGUGGUGGACAGCGAGUGUCAGACGUAGGGAUCAAAGACACACCUCCAGACCUCACUCCAUACUGGCCACCCCGACAGGAGCCUUGGAUGAGGCUGCUCAUGGCUGUAGAUGACACACCAAGGAACUAGAGCUUUUCAGAUGCCACCUGGCCACUCCUGUUCUCGGCCAUAGCAGUGUUACUUGGUACUGUCAAUGUCCACUGCAUUCUGUCAAAUGUGUGUCAUUUAAAGACCACAAGACAUAACAAAAAUUAAUUCGUUAAAACUUAUUGUAUUUUAUUUUUUAAACUGAGAUAGGGUCUCUCUCUGUUGCCCAGGCUAGAGUGCAGUGGUGCAAUCACAGCUCACUGCAACCUCAAACUCCUGGGAUCAAACAAUCUUCCCGCUUCAGCCUCCCAAGUAGCUGGGACUACAGGUACGUGUCACCACAUCGCGUUAAUUUUCAAAUUUUUAGGAGAGAUGAGGUCUCACUAUGUUGCUCAGGCUGGCCUCAAACUCUUGACCUCAAGCGAUCCCCCCGUGUUGGCCUUCCAAAAUGCUGGAAUUACAGGUGUGAGCCACCAUGCCUGGCCUAAUUUUGCUUACACACACACACACACACACACAAGAAAAUUGCAAUUUCAGGAGCCAUGACUUAUGACAUCAUUGAUUCCUGAUGGGGCAGCUCAAAAAAAACAAAACAAAACAGGACCAUAAGAUGGCAGUAUUGCAUAACAAGCUUUACUGCACGGCACUUAGAUAGGUUUGCAUGCGGGGAAUGUCCCUUCCAGCAGGACUCCUUCCAGAGGAACUCCUGGGACAGAGGAGAGUUAGAGGCAGGGCUUAAGUGUCUAGGUGAUGUCAUUGAGUAGCAAGGUGGGGAGAGUCUGCAUCAUAGAACUCUGAAAGGCAACAAUAAUUUGGGGUUUCUUAUGGCUGUAAGAUUUUUCUUCUCUGUGAUUAAUAGGUGUUGUUGGGUGCAAUUUUAUGGGGUAUGCAAAGCAGGUGGGCUCUAAAUGACUAAACAUAUGCUUAUUUGUGCAAUAUUUAUAGCAAUGGAUUGUGUGAGAAUUUGAGCUUGGUGCUGGUGGGCUUUGAGCUGAGAGGUCCCUGCCUGCCUGCUGUAAAGAAAUAAAUGAGAUAGGGCUGAUAGAAAGACACUGUCUUUGGCUCACUUAUACAGCAAGUGACAACCAAUUUAGUUCAGACCUUUCUUGCUUCUAGACCUGCACCAUCCACUCUUAUCCACUUCUCAUUCUUCCUGGAAGCUGCCACGGAACAUGCAGACCCCCGUAUCCACUUUUGCCAGUAGGGACACCCACUUUUGAAAAGCCACGGACCCCUGGCAACGCAGCUGCAGACAUACCAUUUAACUCACCCUGCCUGGAAAAGGAAAGUAAAUGUUUUCUUCCCAAUUUUUGCUAGGGAAAUCCAGGCACAUAUAUGUAUUCAGUAACUCAAUGAUAUAAAUUUCAGGGCUUGUGUCUGUGUGUUAUUGGAAAAGCAUUUGAGGCUGGCUGUCAUGGUUCAUGGCUGCAAUCUCAACACUUUGGAGGCUGAGGCAGGAGGCUCACUUGAGGCCAGGAGUUCCAGACCAGGCUGGACAACUCUACCUCUACAAAAAAAUAAAAUAAUAAGCCCCGCAUGGUGGUGCACACCUGUAGUUCUAGCUACUCAGGAGGCUGAGGUGGGAGGAUUGCUUGAGCCCAGGAAUUCAAGGCUACACUGAGCUAUGAUCACACCACUGGGCCUGGGCAAUGGAGUGAGAUUCUGUCUCUAAAAAAAAAAUGCAUUUGAGAAUUUUAGCAAAUCUAAGUACAUUUGGAGUCUGCUAAUAUUACUGUAUAUGGGAUUUUGGUGGGACCAUCCCUAAGGAUUUAAUAAUAAAAUGUCCCUUUAUAUUGUUGAGAAUUUUAAAUAAUUCUUUAAAGCAGUUAUGUUCUGAUAAAUAUUUAAUAACUGGCUCUUGAGUGGCAUGGGGCGCUGAUUUGCAGUGUUUGCCAAUUCCUGUGGUGUAAAUACUCCCACUGUGGCUGAUUUCAAGGUACAGAUGUGAUACCACUGAAUGUGAAGCUGAGAAGAGAUGCAUGCAAUUGGCUCUGACUCAUGCGGUUGAUACAUGCCAGCUCCAGCACAUCAUGACUUCAAGCUGUCCCAGAUGUGCCCUGUCUGAAUUUCUGACCUACAAAAACCACGAGAGAUGAUGAGUGAUUAUCAAUGUUUUAAGCUGCUAAGUUUUUGAGUAAUUUCUUGCAUGCUGGAAUACUAUACAGCUGUGAAAAAGAAUGAGAAAGGGCUAUAUCGUAGCUAUGUUAUCUAUGAGGGAUAUAUUAUAGAUAUGUCAUCUAAUUCUUUUUUACAGCUGUAUAGUAUCCCAGCUGUGAAAUAGAAUACUAUACAGCUGUGAAAAAGAAUGAGAAAAAGACAAAUACCUAUUAUAGCAAUUUGACCUCACCCAACGGUGAGAGUUCAUUAUGUAAUAAUAUCGGACCAAUCCAGUUCAAUUUUUAUGUAACAAAGUUGUGAGUUGUCUUCCAGUUGCCAUGGACCCCAGGUUGCAAGCUACAUAAUCAGAACAUGUCCAGAUGAGCUAAAAAGUCAACCACAGGUGGAACCUAAGUGCUCAGACAAAGGAGCAGAAUUGAAUUAAGAAACAGACGCCACAUGGCAAUGAUCCAGUAUCCAAUCAGCUCGAGCCCUGGCAUCACACCAUCGCAAGAGCCAAUCAGAUAAUGCCUCAUUACCCUGUGACUAUAAAACCUGCCCCAACUCCCAGUUCAAAGAGACAGAUUUGAGUGUUUUCUCCCAUUUUCUUGCCAAUUGGCUCACAUUAAACCUUUCUCACUG